CCUAACGGCUGAACCAGCAACUUGGACUAAUGAGAGGCGCAAGCCAUAUGUAAUAGAAAGAUUACAAUAGUAACACCGUUACAUGAAGUUAUAGGUAAAUAUUUGAUAAUGACAUGAUUUAUCUAAGAGUCUUGACCAAGUCACGUGCCAGCAGUCGCGGUAACUCGUGGAAGACAAGUGUUAUUCAUCUUUAUUAGGUUUAAAGGGUACCUAGACAGUUAACCAAGCCUACAACAGGGACUAGUUAUACUAGAGUUUUAUAGGAUUUGGCUAGAAUGGUGAGUGUAGAGAUAAAAUAUUUUGAUACCACUUGGAAACUGGCAAGGGCGAAAGCAACCUUUAUGUAAAACUGACGUUAGGGACAAGGCUCAUUUAAGAAACAGGAUUAGAUACCCCAGUACUGAGAGCAGACAAUGAUGAGUGUCAUAUAUAAGUAUAAUAUAUAUAUGUAUAAAUGAAAGUGUAAGCACUCCACCUUAAGAGUAACAUGGCAACAUAGGAACUGAAAUCAUUAGACCGUUUCUGAAACCAGUAGUGAAGUAUGUUGUUUAAUUUGAUGAUCCACAAAGAACCUUACCACAAUUUGAAUAUUUACAGGAGUUGCACGGCUGUUUUUAGUUGAUAUCGUGAGAUUUUGGUUAGUUCCAUUGGAUCAACGUAAACCCUUACUUUAUUUAUUUCAUAAAGUAUUUGAUGUUAUAAAUUUUAGCUGAGAAAAAGGGAUCAAGACAGUCAUCAUGACCUAAAUAUUGUGGGC
rnacentral:rRNA from 1 species